rnacentral:lncRNA from 1 species
GAACACAAAAUGGCGACACGUGGUUAGCAUUCGUCGCCAACGAGAAAUUGGGGUCGGCCCGAAAGCUCUAGAAUGCACCCCUCUUCCUCCCCGGGGCCUUCCACCUCCGCGAGUUUUAUGACUUAAAAAAGCCCACAGGCUGGUCUGAAGGUCGGAGGCCUAAUUUUAACGCGUUUUCCUCCCUUUAAUUUGAAACGGGAACGCGAAUGACUGUAAAAUGUGGGCACAAUAUUUAAUCUCUCGCCUUUUUAAAGCUUAAUAGUGGAUAAUAGGGGGGCAGUAUCAAGGGAUAAUUUGGGUCCCCACAGUACCAAAGCAUUUAGAAACCUCUGUUUAAUUUAAGGAAUGAGAUAAGUUACUGCUUUUCUAGACUUCCUAGCAUGGGCUGUUGUGCUGGAGAGAACGAGAGCUACGAAGAGACUACAGUGCCUCUGACUUUUUCAUAGGACAGUUGGCCGAGGAAGACAAACAUAAAGAUGAAGUGCUUAAUUCAAGGUCACACAAUGUCGGGGAUGGACCUCCAGAUUUCCUUACUGACCUGCAUUAUCUUGUGGAUACCUGAGUGAAUUCCACACCACCCAUUUUAUAGAUGAAACCACUGAGACAUGGAGCAAUUGACUGAGUAGUCACUGCCCCACCCCUGCCUGGAGCCUCACACAUGACUCGCCUCCUCUCAGUGACCACAGGUUGGUUGAGGGGUUUAACAAGGCUAAGAAGGUGAGACGUGGUCUUGUAACACAGUGGUUAAGAAUGUGACUUUGGAGCCAGCCUGCUAGGGGCUGAAUUCUGACUCAGCCAUUUACUAACUGUGUGACCUUAGGGAGGAGGACCUGGUUGAUAGAAGAAUUUAUCUCGUAGUCUUAACAUCCACUGUAAUUCCAAACUUUGAGGACGAUAGAGAUCAGUGGGCUUUGACUGCCCAGCAUGCAGUCUCCAUUCUUAGAAAGUGACCUCAUUUCUUUUCCAGGUGGGUUCCCAAGCCUGUAAAAUGUAAGCCUUAUGCUGCUGAGGGCCAUCUUGCCACCCUGAGGGAAACGCUGCCUGA